rnacentral:rRNA from 1 species
GACGAACGCUGGCGGCGUGCUUAACACAUGCAAGUCGAACGAAGUGGCGAACGGGUGAGUAACGCGUAAUCAACCUGCCCUUCAGAGGGGGACAACAGUUGGAAACGACUGCUAAUACCGCAUACUGAAGGACGGGGUUGCGUCUGAUUAGCGAGUUGGAGGGGUAACGGCCAGCCAAGGCGAUGAUCAGUAGCCGGGUUCAUAGGAAGAACGGCCACAAUGGGACUGAGACACGGCCCAGACUCCUACGGGAUGCAGCAGGGGGGAAUCUUCCGCAAUUGACGAAAGUCUGACGGAGCAACGCCGCGUGAGUGAUGACGGCCUUCGGGUUGUAAAGCUCUGUUAAUCGGGACGCGGUACCGGAAUAGAAAGCCACGGCUAACUACGUGCCAGCAGCCGCGGUAAUAC